rnacentral:rRNA from 1 species
GUGGGGAAUCUUAGACAAUGGGGGAAACCCUGAUCUAGCCAUGCCGCGUGAGCGAUGAAGGCCUUAGGGUUGUAAAGCUCUUUCAGCUGGGAAGAUAAUGACUGUACCAGCAGAAGAAGCCCCGGCUAACUCCGUGCCAGCAGCCGCGGUAAUACGGAGGGGGCUAGCGUUGUUCGGAAUUACUGGGCGUAAAGCGCACGUAGGCGGACCGGAAAGUCAGAGGUGAAAUCCCAGGGCUCAACCUUGGAACUGCCUUUGAAACUCCUGGUCUUGAGGUCGAGAGAGGUGAGUGGAAUUCCGAGUGUAGAGGUGAAAUUCGUAGAUAUUCGGAGGAACACCAGUGGCGAAGGCGGCUCACUGGCUCGAUACUGACGCUGAGGUGCGAAAGCGUGGGGAGCUAACAGGAUUAGAAACCCGGGUAGUCC